GAUUCUACGUUUCAAGUGAGUGGCGAACUGGUGAGUAACACGUGGGAAACCUGCCCAGAAGCGGGGGAUAACACCUGGAAACAGAUGCUAAUACCGCAUAACAACUUGGACCGCAUGGUCCGAGCUUGAAAGAUGGCUUCGGCUAUCACUUUUGGAUGGUCCCGCGGCGUAUUAGCUAGAUGGUGGGGUAACGGCUCACCAUGGCAAUGAUACGUAGCCGACCUGAGAGGGUAAUCGGCCACAUUGGGACUGAGACACGGCCCAAACUCCUACGGGAGGCAGCAGUAGGGAAUCUUCCACAAUGGACGAAAGUCUGAUGGAGCAACGCCGCGUGAGUGAAGAAGGGUUUCGGCUCGUAAAACUCUGUUGUUAAAGAAGAACAUAUCUGAGAGUAACUGUUCAGGUAUUGACGGUAUUUAACCAGAAAGCCACGGCUAACUACGUGCCAGCAGCCGCGGUAAUACGUAGGUGGCAAGCGUUGUCCGGAUUUAUUGGGCGUAAAGCGAGCGCAGGCGGUUUUUUAAGUCUGAUGUGAAAGCCUUCGGCUCAACCGAAGAAGUGCAUCGGAAACUGGGAAACUUGAGUGCAGAAGAGGACAGUGGAACUCCAUGUGUAGCGGUGAAAUGCGUAGAUAUAUGGAAGAACACCAGUGGCGAAGGCGGCUGUCUGGUCUGUAACUGACGCUGAGGCUCGAAAGUAUGGGUAGCAAACAGGAUUAGAUACCCUGGUAGUCCAUACCGUAAACGAUGAAUGCUAAGUGUUGGAGGGUUUCCGCCCUUCAGUGCUGCAGCUAACGCAUUAAGCAUUCCGCCUGGGGAGUACGGCCGCAAGGCUGAAACUCAAAGGAAUUGACGGGGGCCCGCACAAGCGGUGGACAUGUGGUUUAAUUCGAAGCUACGCGAAGAACCUUACCAGGUCUUGACAUACUAUGCAAAUCUAAGAGAUUAGACGUUCCCUUCGGGGACAUGGAUACAGGUGGUGCAUGGUUGUCGUCAGCUCGUGUCGUGAGAUGUUGGGUUAAGUCCCGCAACGAGCGCAACCCUUAUUAUCAGUUGCCAGCAUUAAGUUGGGCACUCUGGUGAGACUGCCGGUGACAAACCGGAGGAAGGUGGGGAUGACGUCAAAUCAUCAUGCCCCUUAUGACCUGGGCUACACACGUGCUACAAUGGAUGGUACAACGAGUUGCGAACUCGCGAGAGUAAGCUAAUCUCUUAAAGCCAUUCUCAGUUCGGAUUGUAGGCUGCAACUCGCCUACAUGAAGUCGGAAUCGCUAGUAAUCGCGGAUCAGCAUGCCGCGGUGAAUACGUUCCCGGGCCUUGUACACACCGCCCGUCACACCAUGAGAGUUUGUAACACCCAAAGUCGGUGGGGUAACCUUUAG
rnacentral:rRNA from 2 species